rnacentral:rRNA from 1 species
UACGUAGGUGGCGAGCGUUGUCCGGAUUUACUGGGCGUAAAGAGCGCGCAGGCGGUCGUCCAAGUCGCGUGUGAAAGCCCCCGGCUCAACUGGGGAGGGUCACGCGAUACUGUUCGACUCGAAGGCAGGAGAGGGUAGUGGAAUUCCCGGUGUAGUGGUGAAAUGCGUAGAUAUCGGGAGGAACACCAGUGGCGAAGGCGGCGACCUGGUCCUUUACUGACGCUGAGGCGCGAAAGCGUGGGGAGCAAACAGG